rnacentral:rRNA from 1 species
AGACCACCAGCUAAGGUCCCAAAAUAUAUGUUAAGUGGAAAAGGAUGUGGCGUUGCCCAGACAACUAGGAUGUUGGCUUAGAAGCAGCCAUCAUUUAAAGAGUGCGUAAUAGCUCACUAGUCGAGUGACACUGCGCCGAAAAUGUACCGGGGCUAAACAUAUUACCGAAGCUGUGGAUUGUCCUUUGGACAAUGGUAGGAGAGCGUUCUAAGGGCGUUGAAGCAUGAUCGUAAGGACAUGUGGAGCGCUUAGAAGUGAGAAUGCCGGUGUGAGUAGCGAAAGACGGGUGAGAAUCCCGUCCACCGAUUGACUAAGGUUUCCAGAGGAAGGCUCGUCCGCUCUGGGUUAGUCGGGUCCUAAGCUGAGGCCGACAGGCGUAGGCGAUGGAUAACAGGUUGAUAUUCCUGUACCACCUAUAAUCGUUUUAAUCGAUGGGGGGACGCAGUAGGAUAGGCGAAGCGUGCGAUUGGAUUGCACGUCUAA